AUUGAACGCUGGCGGCAUGCUUUACACAUGCAAGUCGAACGGUAGAGGGGGCAACCCCUUGAGAGUGGCGAACGGGUGAGUAAUAUAUCGGAACGUGCCCAGUCGUGGGGAUAACGUAGCGAAAGCUACGCUAAUACCGCAUACGAUCUAUGGAUGAAAGCGGGGGAUCGCAAGACCUCGCGCGAUUGGAGCGGCCGAUAUCAGAUUAGGUAGUUGGUGAGGUAAAGGCUCACCAAGCCGACGAUCUGUAGCUGGUCUGAGAGGACGACCAGCCANACUGGGACUGAGACACGGCCCAGACUCCUACGGGAGCAGCAGUGGGGAAUUUUGGACAAUGGGCGCAAGCCUGAUCCAGCAAUGCCGCGUGCAGGAUGAAGG
rnacentral:rRNA from 1 species